rnacentral:rRNA from 1 species
AAUGGCCGCGGUACCCUGACCGUGCUAAGGUAGCAUAAUAACUUGGCUUUUAAUUAGAGUCUGGUAUGAAUGGAGUUUACGGAGUUCAGCUGUCUCUAAAUUAAUUAUUUGAAAUUACUAUGUAGGUGAAAAAGCCUACUUAUAGAAGAAAGACGAGAGGACCCUUAGAGUUUUACUUAUUGUAAAUUAAGAUUUAUUUAUAAGAGUUUAGUUGGGGCAACAUAGGAGCAACAUUAAUAAUCUCCUAAAAUAUAACUAACCGAUAGUUUUAAAUUUGAAUAAACUACCUUAGGGAUAACAGCAUAAUUUUAUAAAUAAGUUUGUGACCUCGAUGUUGGACUAGGAAACUUAAAGGCUAGCCGUCUUUAAGGGAAGUUCUGUUCGAACUAUAGAUUCCUACGUGAUCU